GAUGAACGCUGGCGGCGUGCCUAAUACAUGCAAGUCGAGCGAACAGACGAGGAGCUUGCUCCUCUGACGUUAGCGGCGGACGGGUGAGUAACACGUGGAUAACCUACCUAUAAGACUGGGAUAACUUCGGGAAACCGGAGCUAAUACCGGAUAAUAUAUUGAACCGCAUGGUUCAAUAGUGAAAGACGGUUUUGCUGUCACUUAUAGAUGGAUCCGCGCCGCAUUAGCUAGGUGGUAAGGUAACGGCCUACCAAGGCGACGAUGCGUAGCCGACCUGAGAGGGUGAUCGGCCACACUGGAACUGAGACACGGUCCAGACUCCUACGGGAGGCAGCAGUAGGGAAUCUUCCGCAAUGGGCGAAAGCCUGACGGAGCAACGCCGCGUGAGUGAUGAAGGUCUUCGGAUCGUAAAACUCUGUUAUUAGGGAAGAACAAAUGUGUAAGUAACUAUGCACGUCUUGACGGUACCUAAUCAGAAAGCCACGGCUAACUACGUG
rnacentral:rRNA from 1 species